rnacentral:rRNA from 1 species
AUUGAACGCUGGCGGCAUGCCUUACACAUGCAAGUCGAACGGCAGCACGGGUGCUUGCACCUGGUGGCGAGUGGCGAACGGGUGAGUAAUACAUCGGAACGUACCUUAUCGUGGGGGAUAACGCAGCGAAAGCUGUGCUAAUACCGCAUACGCCCUGAGGGGGAAAGCGGGGGAUCGAAAGACCUCGCGCGACUAGAGCGGCCGAUGCCUGAUUAGCUUGUUGGUGGGGUAAAAGCCCACCAAGGCGACGAUCAGUAGCUGGUCUGAGAGGACGAUCAGCCACACUGGGACGGAGAAACGGCCCAGACUCCUACGGGAGGCAGCAGUGGGGAAUGUUGGACAAUGGGGGCAACCCUGAUCCGGCAAUGCCGCGUGAGUGAAGAAGGCCUUCGGGUUGUAAAGCUCUUUUGUCAGGGAAGAAACACCGGCUCUAACACAGUCCGGGAAUGACGGUACCUGAAGAAUAAGCACCGGCUAACUACGUGCCAGCAGCCGCCGUAA